GUUGUUGAUUCUAAGAUUAUUUUUGUACAUGGCAUUAAAUCUGGCUGAGAUACUAGUAUAUACAUAAUUCAAAACAAAAAUGACAGCAGCCACCCUUCCUGUCUUCAUGUGCCACUCGGCUUCUUCUUAAUUACUUGUUUUUAUUAAUAAUUUCUCAAAAUAUCAGCACAACAAUGUUACAUGUUACAUAUCUUCAUGUGCCACUCGGCUUCUUCUUAAUUACUUGUUUUUAUUAAUAAUUUCUCAAAAUAUCAGCACAACAAUGUUACAUCUGCAAAAGAUGGGCGAAAGAUACCAGAGCCUGAGGGACAUUCAAACUCAUAGCAAAUAAACUGACAACGCCAAGGCUACAAAAGAAAAAGACAAAUAGACAAAUAAUAGUACACAAGACACAAUUUAGAAAACUAAAGACUAAGCAACAGGAACCCCACCAAAAACUAGGGGUGAUCUAAAGUGUUCCAAUAGGGUAAGCAGAUCCUGCUCCACAUGUGGGCUCAUCGUGUUUCUCAGGUUAUUAAAAAUCCGGUAAAUAGUCUAAUUCAGUAGGUCACAUAAGAGAAAAGAGAAGAGGAAGCAAAUGUUUGUUCUUCCCUUGACUGGAUUCGAACUAAUAUAUCUAUUGGGAUACCGUGACAACACCGCCUGCACUGUGUCCAGCGCCCUAGACCUCUCGACCACCAAGACUGAACUAAUAAUUCAGCUUUUGGUGGCCGAGUGUUACCUUUCCUCGUCUGUAGAAUCUUGAGUUGUACACACAGUACAUGAUAUCUUAGGCAUACAGAUGGAAUCCAUUUUAGAUUAGCUGAAUUAUCUGUCCUAAAUGAUCGCAAGAUGCAGUCACAGAAACGUCUUACUGAUCUAUCUUUUACUCUGUAGCAUGAAUGCUUAAUGCUAUGAAUUUGAUGAAAUAUUUUUUAAGCGAUUUAUGGUUUUGAAAGUGC
rnacentral:lncRNA from 1 species